AAGAACCUUUGGUGUCUGUGCUAAAGCUCUGUGAUGUGGGCCUGGAACUCUAGUCUAGAAUGUGCACUCUUAAUGCCCAGCUGCCUGAGGCAGCAAUGCAUUUCCCAUGACCUGGACCACCUUCCCUGUCUGAGGAGCCUUACUGCACCAUGGCUGAGCUCCAGCUCAUCUUCCUAGGUAUUCCCAUCCUUGCCUUCAUGGGUGGGAUGGUGCUCAUUCUUCUGUCAUUGUGCUACCUAAAGAGAAAUCCAUGUUUCCCAAUAUUUUGGAAACAGAGGUGUCAAUCAGCAUAAGGGCAGAGCCAAGAGAAGAAGGAAAGGUGGAACAUCGAGAGCAGAGUCUGUGAAUUUCUAGGACCUCAGUGAAGCCUGGGAUUGCCAUGGGAGGGAAAAUCCUGAGUCAGAAUGUGAAAGCCUUUGGGAGAGGGAAGCAAGUUACAUUGUGAGAUCAAGCAAGUGAAGAAAUGUGAAAGGACAGUAUACACUGGGCGCCCUGACGUCUGCCAGACCUGCCAGGUCCCAUACAUUUGUUCUGGUUCUGGCUGCAGCUUUGUACCUCCUGUCUCCUGCAGUCCCCUGGGCCAGCAUCAUGAUAUCUUCUGCCUUCAUCAACUGUUAUGUCUAGACUCAUUCCAUGAGUUGUGUAAUACUGCAACUGCUGAGUCAAGUGGCUGAAGUGCCUGGAGGCCCUGGAAGAUACUCCUCCCUCUAUGUCCCCUUUGGCUUCCACAGCUUCUGUGACUGAGUCGUUGUUCACUCUGUCCUCUGCCUUCUCAGCAGUCCCUCUAGGAGACCUAAUACUAGCCCCUCUACCUGAGCCUUCCUCACCCACCCGCAUUCUCUAACCUAAUCUAAUGACACCCUUAGCUGACUUUCUUUCACCCUCACCAUCAGGUCUCUCUAUGCCACCAGAGCCUUUUCCUCCCUUGGAUUCCAAAUUCCCAGACUAUUCCCCACCCCAGCCCCUGCCUUUCCUCCUCUCCUACCACAUGACACUCAGACAGUGCAUCCUGUUCUCCAAUUAAAGCCACUUUAUCUCUGCAUACCAUCUUCUCUCUUGAUCACAGCCUUCCCCGAGAUAUCAACCCUUUACCAGAUUUGUCCCAGACAAUGAAUCCCACUGACUGAUUGGCCUGUCAUCACACACCACCAAUCCUGUUUCACGACCACCACACUGCCCUUUAACUGUAACUCAGUCUAAAUUGAUUUCCAUCCUAUUGAGGCCUGUUCCAGAGAAGUCAUCUCCAGAUAGCCCUGAUAGCUUGCCUUCUCAGUCCUCCCUGACUCAGUACCAGAGCAUUUCCAGUGGGGACACGGGAGUUUCCCAGGUGCUGCACGUCCACCUGGAGAACACCGGGAUCAGCAUGGAGCAGCAGCAGGAACCCUGGGUUUCUAAGUGUGUGUCAUGGAAGUUCCCGAAUAAGAAUUUCUCAUCAGCUGCAAAGAGAGUGAGGCCUCUGAAAGCUCCAAAGCAGGAGAAUGUGGAAGUGAGGACUCAGGAGUAGGGACAUCUAAAGCCAGAAAGAAGAGUCACUCUAUCGAGGACAGAGAAUUAGAGGGCACUUCUCCAUCUCUGUCACAGAAUGAACAGUUUCCUCCUGAAGGUUACUUCAGAAAAAAGAGGAGGCAAUUUAUUUUCAAUGGAUCAAUUCCAAGAGAAAAAU
ensembl:lncRNA